GUGCCCGUGGUGUAGUGGUUAUCACAUCCGCUGUUCAUGCGGAAGGUCCCAGGUUCGAUCCCUGGCGGGCGCG